AUGGAAAUGCACACUCCAGUUUUUAGUUUUAGUCGCAGACGAGAGCUCUGACAUUUUAAAAUGCAUUCAUUUUACGACAAAAAAGUUUUUUUCCCCAGGGUCUCGACCAGCAGUGUAACAUGGAUCUACCAGAUCAGCACUCACCUGAUGAGUGUAGGAGAUCAGGUUCAGCAUCUCCGCCUUGUGGAACAUUUAGACAGUGAGUUUGACCAGUCUCUAAUAAUUUAAAAACCAUACAUGAUAUUUUUAAAUGGCAAAUAAACGGACACAUGCUUUUAUUUUCAAAGAUGUUAAAAGCAGAUCCUUAUAACCAAUAAAUAAAUAUUUAUUUCGUUUAUUUAUGUGGUCUGUAUAAUGUGAUUCCAGUCAAUUCCUGAAUUACUGUUCUCUCAUUUCACAUUUUUUUCCAUCAGGGUGAGGAUCGUUCUCUUUGUCACUGAAAAGGAUGUGAAGCUCUGAGUCUCUGGAGCUCUGGAUGAGGUUAUAGAUAGAGGAGUGAGACUUUGGCUUCUAAAGACCUACAAAGACACUUAAAAUAACAAUUACUGUUAACAUGUGUCACUGAACUACUGACUAAUAAAACAACUAAACAUUUAUAUUGUUUAAUGAAAGCUUUUUUUUUUAAACUUAUUUUUACUGAUAAGCAGGCACAUGUAUAAGAUCAGAUCAGUGUAUCAGCUCCCUCUUGUGGACAAACGUAUCUGCAUUAAAAUGUUAAAACAGCCACUUUCCAGAGUUUAGCUCCAACUUGAUUAAAAACACCUGAAGCAGCUAAUCAAGGUCUUUAGGAUUACUAGAAACAGCUUGGGUUGUUGCCUUCUAUGUUUCUAAUUUAUAUAAAACUGGAUUUCAAUAAACAAAUGUUGUUUACAAGUGUGUUUGUGUUAUCAGUUUCAUGCAUUUAAACACAAGACUGACAUCUGACAGACAUUUCUUAAUAAACU